GGAUAACUGGGUGAUGGGCAUUAGGGAGGGCACGUGAUGUAAGGAGCACUGGGUGUUAUGCAACUGAUGAACCACUCAACUCUAACUCUGAAACUAGUAAUGCAUGGUAUAAUGACUGAAAUU